rnacentral:rRNA from 1 species
GUGAGCCUACGGGGCGCAGCAGUGGGGAAUAUUGCACAAUGGGGGAAACCCUGAUGCAGCGACGCCGCGUGAGCGAAGAAGUAUCUCGGUAUGUAAAGCUCUAUCAGCAGGAAAGAUAAUGACGGUACCUGACUAAGAAGCCCCGGCUAACUACGUGCCAGCAGCCGCGGUAAUACGUAGGGGGCAAGCGUUAUCCGGAAUCACUGGGUGUAAAGGGAGCGUAGACGGCUGAGCAAGCCUGAAGUGAAAGGCGGGGGCCCAACCCCCGGACUGCUUUGGGAACUGUACGGCUGGAGUGCAGGAGG